rnacentral:rRNA from 1 species
GUAGGUGGCAAGCGUUGUCCGGAGUUAUUGGGCGUAAAGCGCGCGCAGGCGGUUCUUUAAGUCUGAUGUGAAAGCCCACGGCUCAACCGUGGAGGGUCAUUGGAAACUGGAGAACUUGAGUACAGAAGAGGAAAGCGGAAUUCCACGUGUAGCGGUGAAAUGCGUAGAGAUGUGGAGGAACACCAGUGGCGAAGGCGGCUUUCUGGUCUGUAACUGACGCUGAGGCGCGAAAGCGUGGGGAGCAAACAGGAUUAGAUACCCUGGUAGUCCACGCCGUAAACGAUGAGUGCUAAGUGUUAGGGGGUUUCCGCCCCCCUUAGUGCUGCAGCUAACGCAUUAAGCACUCCGCCUGGGAGUACGGCCGCAAGGCUG